CACGUAGGGGGCGAGCGUUGUCCGGAUUUAUUGGGCGUAAAGAGCUCGUAGGCGGCUCGGUAAGUCGGGUGUGAAAUUUCGAGGCUCAACCUCGAAACGCCACCCGAUACUGCUGUGGCUAGAGUCCGGUAGGGGAGCGUGGAAUUCCUGGUGUAGCGGUGAAAUGCGCAGAUAUCAGGAGGAACACCAGCGGCGAAGGCGGCGCUCUGGGCCGGUACUGACGCUGAGGAGCGAAGGUCAGGGGAGCAAACGGG
rnacentral:rRNA from 1 species